CGGGGCGUAGCGCAGCCCGGCUAGCGCAUCAGCAUGGGGUGCUGGGGGUCGCUGGUUCGAAUCCAGUCGCCCCGA
rnacentral:tRNA from 1 species